UACGUAGGGGGCGAGCGUUAUCCGGAUUUACUGGGCAUAAAGAGCUUGUAGGCGGCGAUCUAAGUCGGAUGUUAAAUUCUUCAGCCCAACUGAAGCAUGCAUUGGAUACUGGAUUGCUAGAGAUCAGGAGAGGAAAGCGGAACUCACGGUGUAGCGGUGGAAUGCGUAGAUAUCGUGAGGAACACCAGUUGCGAAGGCGGCUUUCUGGACUGAAUCUGACGCUCAAGAGCGAAAGCGUGGGGAGCGAACGGG
rnacentral:rRNA from 1 species